rnacentral:rRNA from 1 species
UACGUAGGGUGCAAGCGUUGUCCGGAAUUAUUGGGCGUAAAGAGCUCGUAGGCGGUUUGUCGCGUCUGCUGUGAAAACUCGGGGCUUAACUCCGGGCCUGCAGUGGGUACGGGCAGACUAGAGUGCGGUAGGGGAGACUGGAAUUCCUGGUGUAGCGGUGAAAUGCGCAGAUAUCAGGAGGAACACCGGUGGCGAAGGCGGUUCUCUGGGCCUUACCUGACGCUGAGGAGCGAAAGCGUGGGGAGCAAACGGG